AACGAACGCUGGCGGCAGGCUUAACACAUGCAAGUCGGACGGUAGCACAGAGGAGCUUGCUCCUUGGGUGACGAGUGGCGGACGGGUGAGUAAUGUCUGGGGAUCUGCCCGAUAGAGGGGGAUAACCACUGGAAACGGUGGCUAAUACCGCAUAACGUCGCAAGAUCAAAGAGGGGGACCUUCGGGCCUCUCACUAUCGGAUGAACCCAGAUGGGAUUAGCUAGUAGGCGGGGUAAUGGCCCACCUAGGCGACGAUCCCUAGCUGGUCUGAGAGGAUGACCAGCCACACUGGAACUGAGACACGGUCCAGACUCCUACGGGAGGCAGCAGUGGGGAAUAUUGCACAAUGGGCGCAAGCCUGAUGCAGCCAUGCCGCGUGUAUGAAGAAGGCCUUCGGGUUGUAAAGUACUUUCAGCGGGGAGGAAGGCGGUGAGGUUAAUAACCUUGCCGAUUGACGUUACCCGCAGAAGAAGCACCGGCUAACUCCGUGCCAGCAGCCGCCGUAAUAC
rnacentral:rRNA from 1 species